GCGUGCGGACGAAGGCCUUCGGGUUGUAAACUGCUUUUGUACAGAACGGAAAGUUGGGUUAAUACCCUGAGGUCAUGACGGUACUGUAAGAAUAAGCACCGGCUAACUACGUGCCAGCAGCCGCGGUAAUACGUAGGUGCGAGCGUUAAUCGGAAUUACUGGGCGUAAAGCGUGCGCAGGCGGUUAUGUAAGACAGAGGUGAAAUCCCCGGGCUCAACCUGGCGAACUGGCCUUUGUGACUGCAUGGCUGGAGUACGGCAGAGGGGGAUGGAAUUCCGCGUGUAGCAGUGAAAUGCGUAGAUAUGCGGAGGAACACCGAUGGCGAAGGCAAUCCCCUGGGCCUGUACUGACGCUCAUGCACGAAAGCGUGGGGAGCAAACAGGAUUAGAUACCCUGGUAGUCCACGCCCUAAACGAUGUCAACUGGUUGUUGGGUCUUCACA
rnacentral:rRNA from 1 species